rnacentral:rRNA from 1 species
GAUGAACGCUGGCGGCGUGCCUAAUACAUGCAAGUCGAGCGAACAGACGAGGAUCUUGCUCCUCUGACGUUAGCGGCGGACGGGUGAGUAACACGUGGAUAACCUACCUAUAAGACUGGGAUAACUUCGGGAAACCGGAGCUAAUACCGGAUAAUAUAUUGAACCGCAUGGUUCAAUAGUGAAAGACGGUUUUGCUGUCACUUAUAGAUGGAUCCGCGCCGCAUUAGCUAGUUGGUAAGGUAACGGCUUACCAAGGCAACGAUGCGUAACCGACCUGAGAGGGGGAUAGGCCACACUGGAACUGAGACACGGUCAAGACUCCUACGGGAGGCAGCAGUAGGGAAUCUGCCGCAAUGGGCGAAAGCAUGACGGAGCAACGCCGCGUGAGUGAUGAAGGUCUUCGGAUCGUAAAACUCUGUUAUUAGGGAAGAACAAAUGUGUAAGUAAAUAUGCACGUAUUGACGGUACCUAAUCAGAAAGCCACGGCUAACUACGUG